rnacentral:lncRNA from 1 species
CAGGGACCCACCACAGGAAGGCCCUCUAAAAGCCCCAGCUGAAUUAAUUUGGCUAAUAAAGAAAAACAACUUUCUGGGCUGCCUGUUUGAUAACCCCUCAGCACAGCUCCAUGAUGUCUC